UACGAAGGGGGCUAGCGUUGUUCGGAAUUACUGGGCGUAAAGCGCACGUAGGCGGUCUUUUAAGUCGGGGGUGAAAUCCUGGAGCUCAACUCCAGAACUGCCUUCGAUACUGGAAGACUUGAGUCCGGGAGAGGUGAGUGGAACUGCGAGUGUAGAGGUGAAAUUCGUAGAUAUUCGCAAGAACACCAGUGGCGAAAGGCGGCUCACUGGCCCGGUACUGACGCUGAGGUGCGAAAGCGUGGGGAGCAAACAGG
rnacentral:rRNA from 1 species